rnacentral:rRNA from 1 species
CCUACGGGAGGCAGCAGUGAGGAAUAUUGCGCAAUGGGCGAAAGCCAGACGCAGCAACGCCGCGUGGGCGAUGAAGGUCUUCGGAUCGUAAAGCCCUUUUCUAGAGGAAGAGGAAGGACAGUACUCUAGGAAUAAGUCUCGGCUAACUACGUGCCAGCAGCCGCGGUAAAACGUAGGAGGCUAGCGUUAUCCGGAUUCAUUGGGCGUAAAGCGCGUGUAGGCGGUGCUCUAAGUUGGAUGUGAAAUCUCCUGGCCUAACUGGGAGGGGUCAUUCAAUACUGGGGCACUUGAGGGCAGGAGAGGAAAGUGGAAUUCCCGGUGUAGCGGUAAAAUGCGUAGAUAUCGGGAGGAACACCAGUGGCGAAGGCGGCUUUCUGGCCUGCCCCUGACGCUGAGACGCGAAAGCUAGGGGAGCGAACGGGAUUAGAUACCCCAGUAGU